CGUAAAGCGCAUGCAGGUGGUUUGUUAAGUCAGAUCGUGAAAGCCCGGGGCUCAACCUCGGAAUUGCAUUUGAAACUGGCAAACUAGAGUACUGUAGAGGGGGGUAGAAUUUCAGGUGUAGCGGUGAAAUAGCGUAGAGAUCUGAAGGAAUACCGGUGGCGAAGGCGGCCCCCCUGGACAGAUACUGACACUCAGAUGCGAAAGCGUGGGGAGCAAACAGGAUUAGAUACCCUGGUAG
rnacentral:rRNA from 1 species